GCCCGGUUAGCACAGCGGCAGUGCAGCGGUUUUGUAAACCGAAGGCCGGGGGUUCAAAUCCCUCACCGGGCACCA
rnacentral:tRNA from 1 species